rnacentral:tRNA from 1 species
UAUACGUAAGUGUUACAGCACGAGAAGUUUUGAUCUUCUAAGAAUGGGUUAAACUCCAUUAUGUAUAA